AACGAACGCUGGCGGCAUGCCUAACACAUGCAAGUCGAACGAGACCUUCGGGUCUAGUGGCGCACGGGUGCGUAACGCGUGGGAACCUGCCCUUAGGUUCGGAAUAACUCCCCGAAAGGGGUGCUAAUACCGGAUAAUGUCUUCGGACCAAAGAUUUAUCGCCUUUGGAUGGGCCCGCGUUGGAUUAGCUAGUUGGUAGGGUAAUAGCCUACCAAGGCGACGAUCCAUAGCUGGUCUGAGAGGAUGAUCAGCCACACUGGGACUGAGACACGGCCCAGACCCCCAGGGGGGGAAGGAGGGGGGAAUAUUGGACAAUGGGCGAAAGCCGGAUCCCGCAAGGCCGGGGGAGGGAUGAAGGCCUUGGGGUUGUAAAGCUCUUUUACCCGGGAUGAUAAGGAAAGGACCGGGAAAAAAAGCCCCGGCUAACUCCGG
rnacentral:rRNA from 1 species